GAUGAACGCUGGCGGCGUGCCUAAUACAUGCAAGUCGAGCGAACAGACGAGGAGCUUGCUCCUCUGACGUUAGCGGCGGACGGGUGAGUAACACGUGGAUAACCUACCUAUAAGACUGGGAUAACUUCGGGAAACCGGAGCUAAUACCGGAGAAUAUAUUGAACCGCAUGGUUCAAUAGUGAAAGACGGUUUUGCUGUCACUUAUAGAUGGAUCCGCGCCGCAUUAGCUAGUUGGUAAGGUAACGGCUUACCAAGGCAACGAUGCGUAGCCGACCUGAGAGAGUGAUAGGCGACACUAGAACUGAGACACGGUCCAGACUCCUACGGGAGGCAGCAGUAGGGAAUCUUCCGCAAUGGGCGAAAGCAUGACGGAGCAACGCCGCGUGAGUGAUGAAGGUCUUCGGAUCGUAAAACUCUGUUAUUAGGGAAGAACAAAUGUGUAAGUAACUAUGCACGUCUUGACGGUACCUAAUCAGAAAGCAACGGCUAACUACGUG
rnacentral:rRNA from 1 species